GCGACAACGGAGCGAGAAGGGAGCGAGAAGGGAGCGGGCACCGGGGAUGGAGCUGCGAGGGCUGCUUCUGUGUCUCAGUCUCAGCCUCUACACGGUGCUGCCGAGCCUGCCCGGAGCCUGCGGUACCUGCCAGCAGCCACCAAGGUUUGCCUUUGCGGAGCCCCCACUGCCCCUGGAGGGGUCCUACGCCGAGGGGACCACACUGAGAUACCGGUGCCGCCCGGGGUACAGGUUGGCGAUGGGCAAGUCCCCCAUCGUCACCUGCCUCUCCAACACCCAAUGGUCAGCGAACCCUGACUUCUGCAUUGGGAAGUCCUGUGCUCCACCGGAGAUCACGAACGGCAAGUUUGACUACACGACUGACCUGCUGUUAGGGGCAACGAUAACCUUCACCUGUAAUGCCGGGUACCGCUUAGUUGGAACGCCGUCUGCGCAAUGUGUAGUUACAGGCAAUGAAGUUUCUUGGGACGGCACUCCACACUGCACCAUUAUUCCCUGUUCACCACCUCCUGCGAUCGAGAACGGGAAGCUCUUCAACGGCGACAGAGACUUUGUCUUCGGCAUGGCUGCGACGUACAGCUGUAACAAAGGUUUUUCUCUUAUUGGAGAUACCACCAUUCACUGCACGAUGGAUGAUAACCUCGAGGGAGUAUGGAGCGGUCCAGCUCCUGAAUGCAAAACUGUCAGAUGUGAAGAUCCAGAAGUGGAAAAUGGGAGCAGGUUAUCUGGCUUUGGCACUGAGCACACGUAUAAAGAUACAGUGACCUUCGCGUGCAAACCUGGUUAUUUAAUGAAGGGUGCUAGCGUAGUUACUUGUGAAGCAGACAGUACCUGGAAGCCACUUCUGCCAACAUGUGACCCAGUCUACUGUGGUCCUGCCCCACGCUUCCCUUUCGCUGAGGCUGGAAUGGCUGUGGGCAGCAGCUCCCCUGCUGGAACUCAGCUGAGGUAUUGGUGUAAACCGGGUUUUACUGCAGCAAGUGGGAAAUCCUCCAUUGUCACUUGUCUGACUGACACAACUUGGUCUGCAGACCCAGACUUCUGUAUACGACAGCAAUGCCCUCCUCCCACGAUAGCGAACGGGGACGUGAUUGCAGACAAUUUCCUCUUUGAGACCGUUGUGACAUUCGUCUGUCAUCCUGGGUAUGAAUUAAAGAGGUCAUCUUCUGCCAAGUGUGUGGCGUCAGGAAGUGGAGUUGCGUGGGACACGGCAUUUCCAUACUGUGAAAGGCAGCUCCCCGACGUUCUCUGUGAAGAGCCCCCCAUGAUUGACAACGGGAUUCACAACGGCACAAAGGGCAAACACUUUCUCCAAGGCUCCACUGUAACUUACAAAUGCAACGAUGGCUUCACCCUUGCCGGAGCAGCCUUUCUUCAGUGUAUUGCGGGAGAUCAGUACUGGGGAGUCUGGAGCAAACCUGCUCCUGAAUGCAGAGAUAAACACCUGCGGAACAGGGCUGUGCAGGGGUCCUGCUCUGUGUGUUGCUUGAAUUGUCUCCCACGUGCCUUGGCUCUGAUGUGCGAUGCUGCGUGUUGAUGAAUUACCAUGCUGAAUGGGUGCUGAGUUUCAUGUUUUGACUCACUUUCUUUCCAGGUGGAGCAAACAUGCUCUCUGUUGGAAUCUUCCCCCUCCUCCUGACGAUGCUGGUUAUGAACCUCUAGGGAAUGGGCACAGUGGGGAGGCACUGGGAAGAGACUGAGCGACUCCUCCAGGACUACUGAACUCCUGUAGACGUGUGGGACUUGAUCACAUUGAUCCCAGUGCUUUUCCCUCUUGUGAAACUGGCCUUGAAGUGGUGACCAACUGACUGUGGACAAAGCACUCGCACUUUUGGCCGCAGCAGCUGCGCUGGACACAACAGCUCCUGCUGGGGCUGGGCCGGGCAGCUCUCGGCCACCCAGGUGAGAAUGCUCUUCAGAAAUCAACUGUGGUUAUCUCCACGUUAUGUCUCAGUGAUGCCAAAGACUUUUGCACUGCAAUAGAACAGACUCAAGAAGAUGAUGCACUUUGAGCACCUUCGGCCCCGUUGAGGUCCUGUUGUGCCUCGUCCUGAUCAGGGUUCAUGGGUUUAAGUGUCCUGAGAUGAAAAGUGCUGCUGCUGCUGAGAGGAUUAACGGUGAAUAUCUUCAUGUGACUGAUGGUUACUUGCAAAAAAUCAAGUUUGAUGCAAAUAGGAUGCGUAAAUCAAGUAUUGUCUUUGGGUACUGAAAGCAUCGGAGGUGUUCCUAUAAAAGCGUGGUUGCAGCCGUGACUUCAAGGCAAGCCUGACCCGCUGUGCAAGCAGCAGUCCUUACAGUGCUUUUACCAGAGAGAAAAACAUUACUUACUUACAAUUACAGCCUUACUGCAAUGAGCUGCUAUUCUGACUCUUGCUGUGCGCUGACGUUAGCUUCAAAGUUCAGCUGAAGGUCUCUGCCCUGGCACUAUCUUUGUCUCACGUUGAGGUUUUGCAGAAACACCCUUCCUGUCUCUGCAGUGACUCAGAGCUUCUCUGGAAGCGGUGAAGCUUUCGGUGGGGUGAAAGCCCCAGGAGGAACCCAGCUGGGUGGGCGCUUGGGGCCGCGGAGCUCGUCCGCCGGCAGGUGGGGUCCGGGCUGAACACGGGACUCGCCGGUGUCUUGGCAGAUGCCACCAAACAUGAGAAAGUCGCUGCAUGUGAACCUUUUUUUUUGCUUUCUGCUUAAAUGCCACCUGCCUGGGGUGACUCUGAGGGCAGGGAAAUCGCUGUCUGAAUUUGUACUUAGAAGGGUUUUUCAGGUGGUGCUGUGCACCCCGAGCCCAGCGCAGCCCCGGGGAGGAAGAGCAGGAUUUGUCCUCUCGCUCUGCUUGCGGCAGGGCUGGUGGGUGGCUCUGAUGCACCCAGAGUAGGCAGAGGGCACAUUAAGCCAAAGCCUUAAUUUCCAUGGGGACAUAAACCCCACGUCUUUUCAUAGGAUCGUAGAGUGGUUUGGGUUGGAAGGAACCUUAAAGACCAUCUAAUUCCACCCCCCUGUGAAGGGCAGGGACGCCUCCCGCUGGAUCAGGCUGCGUUUUAUUUUCACCCUGCCUAAACUCACCUCCUUGAUUGCUGUGUUGAGGACGGUUUGCGAGGUGGGUAGAGGCGAGCGAGGUAGCCGGGCUUUGGUGGAGGACAGCUGAGGUGGUGGGACCUCGCUCACCUUGUCUAAACCAAAGCUAUGGGUAAAAGUCCCCUUGAUUUCUGUGGCUGACAGAAAGCCCACCUCGUAGUGGCUGUAUCCUCCCCUGGUUUGGACUCAGCCUUGCUAAAUGAUUAUUUAAUAAGCCGAAAGGGUUCGUAGCGUCUCAUACAAUGAGGUAAAGAUUUGAAGACUUCCUGGGAAUCCUGUUUAUAAGGAUUUAAAUUCAGCUGUUGCCUGAAUCCAGCUGGAGGUACCAGGACUUUUAGCUGCUGGUAGAGUAAGAUUUUGAGGCUCAGGGUUUUGUCUUGCGUAGAGGUUAAUCGCCCAUAUGUGAUCUUCUCGUGAUGCGCAGGGAACGGGAAGUAUUCCAAAUGUGUCUACUAUGUACUUUUUGUUUCUGCGUGUUUCCUCAGUGCUUUCUCAUUAACGGGAACAUGCACCUAGAGGGAAGACCGCAAAAAGCCAUUUCCAUCCACACGUUGCCCUUGUUCCAAACAAAGCCACUAAGUUCUCCCUUCCCAGCAGAGCCCUGUCCUGCUCCGGCACCACGAGACGCCAUUCUCGGAAGCCAGUCUUGCAGAAUAAGCACUUGCAAGUUGUUGGUUAUUUUUAUGUCUCUUACCGUAAGCCUUGUGAGUGACCAGAUGAGCCAAACGCAAACAUAAAGCCUCAUAGCUUGGUUCUGUUAUUUUAAUCCCACCAGAAUUGUUCCUACAGAGUGGUUUUUCCAAAGGAUUUAGGAGCUGAUUUGGGGAUGAACUUGAAAUGAUCUCCCUGCAACUAAAUGGAAGGAACUGUGAAUGCUGUGACAUGUAUGGGUGCAACCAACUAAGAUUUACCGUUGAAAAGUGCUUAUCUACUGUGUUUGUAACUGAGUUGUACGUCGUUUAUAAUCUGAAUGUAAUCAGUCAAGUGCAGUUUUGAAGACUACAUGUUGGGUGUGUAAAUACUAGAAGCUCUCUGUCAAUAAAAGGGGUAA